GACUCCACUGUGCGUGUGACAGCGGCUAACCUGCUCCUCGGACAGCGCUGUGCGGCCGCCUCGCCUCCUCGGACCCGCGCCUCGACGCCACGACGCCUCUGUCCCCUCCCCGACACCCAGAAAUAGCCUUGUGUUUGGGACUGUGCUGCCUGAUGACUAACCCCUGGAGAUGCCACUAGCAGAAGCAGCUCUGCGGGUCGCCUGGCAAGACUUGUCUCAGUUCCCAUGAGCAGGACCGUGGUAUGAAUGCUUCCGACUUCCUGCUACCUAUGGAACCAUCCUGCUCAGCUUCAGUAAGCAAAGGCAAGGGGUUGAAGUGAAGUUUGUUUGGUUUAGGUUUUUUUUUUGUGUCUCUCUCCAGUAAGGUGGGGGGGGCAUACAGCUCAAUUCCUGUUUUUAACAUUCUUGUGGCAUGAUUCAAAACUAACCUGCUGUGCUGUCACCUGAAGUCUUCAAUAAAUAGUGCAAAACCA